rnacentral:rRNA from 1 species
GAAAGAGAACGCGUAAACGAUUCCUCCCCGAUUGGAUGUCUACGACCCGCGGAAGCCUUUGCAGACUACUAGGCCUCCCUUUAGAGAGCGAACGACUUGAAAAACAAAUCGACCCGCGUGCAAGUUCGGCCUGGCGCCGGCGACGCUCUCGAAUUGCGGGGAACCCCUAAAGCCAUCCGCACCCAGCCAGCCGGGGAGAACCCGCUGGCGACGGUAACAGCCGGAUGGAUGAGCCGCCCCUGGCGGCGAAAUGGGCGAUCCGCAUCGAAUCCCCUACAGCCUCGCGGGGCCAUGGGGAACGUUCACAGACCUGGCGGGAGCGGGUGGGGCGAACGAGCCCCGCUCCAAGAUAAGGUCGGACCCCACCGAGAGAUCGGGGGAGGUUGGCAGCGUUCCCGUAGGUGAACCUGCGGAAGGAUCAUUAUCGAGGAGCUUCGGCUCCAUCGAGAAUAACACCCUUGCCCUUACGAGCACCUAUCCGUUUCCUCGGCGGUCAUUCGGCCGCCAACGGGGACCCCAUCAAACGCUUUGCAAAUGAGAAGUAAACCGUCUGAUACAAAACAAAAUAUCACGAACUUUCAACGAUGGAUCUCUUGGCUCUGGGCAUCGAUGAAGAACGCAGCGAAAUGCGAUAAGUAGUGUGAAAUUUGCAGAAAUUCCGUGAAUCAUCGAAUCUUUGAACGCACAUUUGCGCCCUUUGGCAUUUCCAUAGGGCAUGCCUGUUCGAGCGUCAUUUCAAACCUCAAAGCUCCGCUUGGUCUUUGGGCGAUCGUCCCGCCUCCGCGCGCGGACCCGUCCUCAAAAUGCAUUGGCGGCCGGCAAUCCGGGCUAUGAGCGCAGCAAGAAUCGCGCCUUCUAACCGGGUAGCAGGGGCUCCAGCAAGCACCUCUUCCACGUUUUGACCUCGGAAUCAGGCAGGGUUUACCCGCCUGAACUUAAGCAUAUCAAUUAAGCGGGAGGAAAAGAAACCAACAGGGAUUGCCCUAGUAACGGCGAGUGAAGCGGCAACAGCUUCAAAAUUUGAAAAUCUGGGCUUUGCCUCGCGCGAGUCCGAGUUGUAAUUUGCAGAGGGCGCUUUUGGCGUCGGCUGGCGGCCUAAGUCCCCUUGGAAACGGGGCGUCAGAGAGAGGUGAGAAUUCCCGUUCUGCGGCCGCCGGCCUUCGCCGUGUAAAGCCCCUUUCGACAGAGUCCGAGUUGUUUGGGAAUGCAGCUCUAAAUGGGAGGUAAAUUUCUUCUAAAGCUAAAUACCGGGCCAGAGACCGAUAGCGCACAAGUAGAGUGAUCGAAAGAUGAAAAGCACUUUGGAAAGAGAGUCAAAAAGCACGUGAAAUCGUUGAAAGGGAAGCGCUUGCAGCCAGACGUGCCCGCGGAGGCUCAUCCAGGCUUUUGCCUGGUGCACUCCCCCGCGGGCAGGCCAGCAUCAUCCCCGGAGCGAA